rnacentral:rRNA from 1 species
AGCGAGAGAGAGCUUGCUUUCUCGAGCGAGUGGCGAACGGGUGAGUAACGCGUGAGGAACCUGCCUCAAAGAGGGGGACAACAGUUGGAAACGACUGCUAAUACCGCAUGAUACGUUUUAGGGGCAUCCCUGAGACGUCAAAGAUUUAUCGCUGAAAGAUGGCCUCGCGUCUGAUUAGCUGGUUGGUGAGGUAACGGCCCACCAAGGCGACGAUCGGUAGCCGACCUGAGAGGGUGAUCGGCCACAUUGGGACUGAGACACGGCCCAAACUCC